ensembl:lncRNA
UUUUUUUUUUUUUUUUUUUUUUUUUUUUUUUUUUUUUUUUUUGGGUGCCCUGUCCAAGGCCUACCCUCUAUCCCAGUGGUCUCUGGACUUGCUGGAGUGGGAGGGAUACAAUGCUGACUCCUUUGCCUCUUACUGCUGUCGAUCAGCAAGCAUCUGCAGUACAGCUUCUCUUACUGUGAUACUACUGCUACUGCAACAUCCCCUCUACUACUAAUGGAACUAACCAAACUACUGCUCCUUUUCACCUUUAAUCUCCAGCGUUUUAGUUGGAAGAACUUUGCAAAAACAAAUAAAGAUAUACACGUAUAAAACAAAAAAAACAAACAUAUUUAUUUGAUUGCUGUUUGAAGGUGGAGGGUUUGGCUUUUUUGUUCAUUGCACCUGGUUGUCAUUUGCUGAUGCUAACUGGAAAGGUAAUGCUACUCUGAUUUUAGGGACCUUUUGAGAGGUCUUCUUUCACACUCUCUAGUGUCUAGUUUGCUUUAUCAUUCAACUGGAAUUAGGCCCAAGAUUGGCCAUGACUUCAUCUUUGAGUGAAAUCCCCACCACAAUAUAAGAAUGUUCUGUUGGAGAACUUCAUUCUUUCUCAUUUUCUCUCUGCUUUAUUUUGGUCUGUUGUUCUGUACAUAUAGGGCUUCACAUUUGUGACUUCUACAAAUUAAGGUAUGGGAAAUCCACCCAGUGGUUCUCAUACCAGAGAGAUAGAAUGACAACUUGUACCUAACAGUAUAUAUUCUUAAACAAAAGAUAUUCAUAUUUCACUACACCUAGGUCAUUGUUAAUUCUUCACUUCAGAAGUCAUUGAGCGUUAGCAAAAAAUUAGAUUACCAUGCAAAAUGACCCGAAAUCUAAUUUCAAUAUUCUUCAGUCACACUCCAUACAACCCUUUAAAGUUUUGGGAGGUGUAAAAAAAACAGUACCAAGGUCCUUAAACUUUAAAAUGUUUUUUUUUGUGUGUGUGUGUGUGGUGAUCACCACCACAUCAGUAUAAUGAUUUUGAAAUCCUUCAGGUCCUAGAAUUUUUUUUUCAUACAUGGUAGCACAUGGAUCUCAUGAUAAACGUUAGUGGAACACUAGGUGUAGAGUUCACUAGGUGUGUCUAGUGUGCCCUUGUGGCAGCCACCUUCUUUCUUCGUGGUAACGGCACCAUUUGCUUUAUCUUGCCCGUCUCAGGUUUUAAAUCUUUACUUUGUUUUGCGAGAUCCAACUUGGUCAUUUUGUCCCCUCACAUGCUUUGCACGGGUCAUCCAAUGACCCUUUUAUCAUUUUGACUCUAACUCCUAUAGAUGAUCCCGAUUCGAUUUGGCCACUGGCCUAAACAUUUGUAUCACUGUUCUUUGUUUGUCUCCAUCUCUCUCAUUUUAAUGUAAACUCUCCAAAGCUACAGGGAGUUCUUUUUCUGAUUUGGAGUAAGGCAAGCACA